rnacentral:lncRNA from 1 species
AUCAACUCGACGUGCAUAACAAAUGUUUCAGUGCAGCAGAAUUUCCUGUAAAGUUCCAGAAUAGCUGGGCAGCGAAACAGUAAGCUGUGAAUGCCUCAAACAAUAUGGGGGAAAAGCCCGCACAAGAAUACAUAAAAGAUACUCCCUCCGUCCGAAAAUACUUGUCAUCAAAAUGAAUAUAAAAAGAAUGUAUCUAGAACUAAUAUACAUCUAGAUACAUCCCCUUCUAGUCAUUUUGAUGACAAGUAUUUUCAGACGGAGGGAGUAUUACCUCCGUCCCAAAAGGCUUGUCUUAGAUUUAUCUAGGUACGGAUGUAUCUAACACUACGUGUCUAGAUGCAUCCGUAUCUAGGCAAAUCUAAGACAAGCUUUUUGGGGCGGAGGGAGUACAUGGACUUCAAUUCAAGAUCACGGCCAAGUUCACACCAGCUUACAUGUCAGUGCACAGCCAACAAACAGCUGCUAUGUUGAGCUAUCAGCAGAUGCAGCGUGCUGCCUCAAAAUUCCUAAACUCCAAAAUUUGAUUACUACAUAUACAGGCACCCCAAUGGCACACUGAGCAGAUUGCUACAUCCAUCCAGAAGCCACAAUGAACACUCAGCCCAUGCAUCUGAAGCUUCUGCAAAAUACAGUUUUGAAACCUGGGUC